rnacentral:rRNA from 1 species
UACGUAGGGGGCUAGCGUUGUCCGGAAUCAUUGGGCGUAAGCGCGUGUAGGGGGUCCGGUAAGUCCGCUGUGAAAGUCGGGGGCUCAACCCUCGAAUGCCGGUGGAUACUGUCGGGCUAGAGUGCGGAAGAGGCGAGUGGAAUUCCUGGUGUAGCGGUGAAAUGCGCAGAUAUCAGGAGGAACACCAAUUGCGAAGGCAGCUCGCUGGGACGUAACUGACGCUGAGACGCGAAAGCGUGGGGAGCAAACAGG